GCUUUCGUGGUGUAAUGGUCAGCACACUCGGUGCGUAUUCCAGAUGUCCGAGGUUCGAAUCUCGGCGAGGGCA
rfam:Stegodyphus mimosarum contig53888, whole genome shotgun sequence.